rnacentral:misc_RNA from 1 species
CACAGCUUGUAUGUAAUAAGAAUUGAAGCUAGGUCAAAAAUUUGUUUCGAUAAAUAGUAGAUUCUCUGCCAUAAUCUUAUUUGUGAGAAUUAUAUUAAUUUUUAAAUUAUAAAACACAACUGUAUGCUGUCCCAAGUCCCCGACUUUAAUUUCUGUUACUUCUAGUACAACUACUUUUUUACUAAAAUUAUUCAAAAACGGGAUAUUUAUCACGUUUUUUUAUUUUCAUUUUGCGGAGCUCGAUAUUUUGACAUAAGAACUUGUUCGAAAUUACGAAUGUCUUGUUCACGAGACAAAAUCUUAUACUUUUGUAACAAUCAGUCAAAAUUAAAAAGUUGAAUCGAACAGUCACCUCCUGACAUAAGAAAAAAUCUUAUACCUCACUAGACUUCUGUUGCGAUUAUCUGUGCUGACAUUUUUGUUUAUCUUUUUGUUACGACGAGUUCAAUCGUGAUGUUUACUAGCUUAUAAUAAUAUCAAGUAGGCUUUUGAGGCACGUUAGAAUCGUCGUUUUACAAAGAAUAUAAAUAUUUUAAAUUCUGUUGACCAGGAUCAGUAAGUAACUCAAAACUUAUUAUUUUACAAAGUAACUUGACUAACAAAAAAUCUUAUAUAUAAGAUUUUUUGUUCUCGUUUUCGAGUUCUCGUGUUACAAUGUUAGUUACAAUCCUCUUCCGAAAAGGUUAGACCGAUUUUUAUGAAAUUUUGUGCGCAUAUCGGAUAGGUAUGAGAAUCGGCCAACAUCUAUUUUCCAUAUCCCUAAGUUAUAAGGGGGGAUUAAGGGGGUUAAUAACAUAUAUGGCAAAACAUUCCAAUUAUAACUGAGGUAGGGCACAGCAGGAAUUUUCUGCUCAAAAUAAGGACAAAAUAAUACUGUUUUCAAGCAGUAUUGUGUUCCUGUUGGUGAGUAAGGUGACCAGAGCUCCUGGGGGGAUUGGGGAUUGGGUCGGCAACGCGCUUACGAUGCUUCUGGUGUUGCAGGCGUCUAUAAGCUACGGUAAUCGCUUACCAUCAG